rnacentral:rRNA from 1 species
AACGAACGCUGGCGGCAUGCCUAACACAUGCAAGUCGAACGAGCCCUUCGGGUCUAGUGGCGCACGGGUGCGUAACGCGUGGGAACCUGCCCUUAGGUUCGGAAUAACUCCCCGAAAGGGGUGCUAAUACCGGAUAAUGUCUUCUGACCAAUGAUUUAUCGACUUUGGAUGUGCGCGCGUUGGAUUAGAUGGUUGGUAGGGUAAAAGCCUACCAAGGCGACGAUCCAUAGCUGGUCAGAGAGGAAGAUCAGCUACACUGGAACUGAGACACGGCCCGGACUCCUACGCGAAGCAGCAGUGGGGGAUAUAGGACAAUGGACGGAGGGCUGAUCAACCUAGGCCGCGAGAGUGAUGAUAUCAGUGGGGUAGUAAAGCUGGACUACCCGUGAAGAUAAUGACAGUACCGAAUGAAAAAGCUACGGCUAACUCCGUG